rnacentral:rRNA from 1 species
UACGGAGGGGGCAAGCGUUGUUCGGAAUUACUGGGCGUAAAGGGCUCGUAGGUGGCCAACUAAGUCAGACGUGAAAUCCCUCGGCUUAACCGGGGAACUGCGUCUGAUACUGGAUGGCUUGAGUUUGGGAGAGGGACGCGGAAUUCCAGGUGUAGCGGUGAAAUGCGUAGAUAUCUGGAGGAACACCGGUGGCGAAGGCGGCGUCCUGGACCAACACUGACACUGAGGAGCGAAAGCCAGGGGAGCGAACGGG